AGGGUUUGAUCAUGGGCUCGGAACGAACGGUGGCGGCGUGGAUGAGGCAUGCAAGUCGAGCGAGAAAGCACCCUUCGGGGUGUGAGUAGAGCGGCGGACGGGUGAGUAACACGUAAUCGAGCUGCCCUCGAGACUGGGAUAAGUGGGAAACUGCGGCUAAUACCGGAUGGUCUUCAGUUGCUGCAUGGCGACUGAUGUAAAUGGAGGGGAUCCUUCGGGACCUUCUGCUCGGGGAGGCGAUUGCGGCUGAUCAGCUUGUUGGUGGGGUAAUGGCCCACCAAGGCUACGACGGGUAGCAGGCCUGGGGCCACGAAAGCCGAGAGCGCCCGAAGUCGUUUGCCUAACCGCAAGGAGGGCGGCGCCGAAGGCGAGCUUGGUGAUUGGGACUAAGUCGUAACAAGGUAACC
rnacentral:rRNA from 1 species